CUCAGUUUCCAUUGUUUACUUCCUGCCCCGCGUGACGUAGCUGCACCGCGUGACGUCACUUCCUCUGCCAGCCGACCAUAUUAAGUGUCGUAAAACCUGCUUCUUUUCAAAGCUCUAUCCAGUCAUGUCGCGGAGGGUCUGUUGCCUGUAUUGUGUGGAGAAAUCCACAAUGUUUGCAGUACCGAAGGCAGAACCACGACGAAGUCAGUGGUUGACAUUCCUUUUUAACACUGUUCCAGCUGAUUUACCAGCCGGUACUGUUGUGUGUGCGCGGCAUUUCAGGGACCUUAGCUUCGGACUUGCUGUAAAGCUGAUAUUGGAGGACGAUGCUGUUCCUACUUUGUUUGGACCAGCGGGAGAUUCGGGUACACAACCUAGUACAUCACAACAGGAACACAAUACCCACCGCUCCAGUCGGAUGUCAAACAGACCGUCCACAGACUGUUUGUGUGGGAACUCAGAGGGUUGAGACACGGUCUGUGGGAACACAGACAGUGGAAUGUAAAGUGUCCGCCAUUUCUGUUGCUACACAGUUGGCCCGGGGAACACUGAAAUCGGCACACGUGAGAAGCAAAGGCAUCCAAGCCAUGGUGUCUUUCAAAAGUGUUGGCACUAAAACUUCCACCUACACAGAAAUCCCCUUGUCCUCUACACCAAUAAAGGGCCCAGGAUUGGGACCUAGCAAGAGACCUCGACUAGAGUUGGAGCAGGAACAAGGAGAGACUUCGAUUUAAUUUGAAGAGACUGGAUUUGAGUUACCACCCUGAUGAUACUGUAGAAGAAUCUGACGUAUCGGCAUCACGGCCAAAGUGCGGGGCAACGACGGCCAUGGCCGUCGUGGCCGUCGUGAAAUUCCCACCCUGUUUGUCAGACAGACUGUGAUGUCCAAAAACGAAAAAAUGGGACUUUUGUGGCGUUCAAACAGUGUUGUCCAAACUGCACUUACUUCAGACAAUGGGAGAGCCAGCCCAUCAUUGGAAGUACCCCGGUUGGCAACUUACAAUUAUCUGCUGCUACAUACUUCACUGGUGCUUCCUUCUUCCAACUAAAAAAGAUAUGCAGCUGGAGAUCUUCCAGUAUGAGACCUUCAGGAGGCAUGCUAGGCAUUAUCUGGAGCCGAUAUGAGAGCAGACUCUCCAGGCCACUCAGCUAAGUUUGGGAGCUACACACUAAUGCACCUGGGAAGCAACACCAUUGUGGACUUCCAGCUUGUUCAGUGUAUGUGGGUGAGCUGAUGAGGCUGGUGUUUGAAGAAGUCUUUGAGGACCCAACACCCUUUGUGGAGGAGAUGAAUAAAAUCAACAUCCCAAAGGACCUGUCCACUCAAUUUGACAGGCCCUCAAAGGAGGAAGUGGUAGCCCGCCAUGUCUCACGUUUUAGUCUAGGGGCGGUCGGAAGCCCACGUACUGUCCAGCCAGAUCAGGGAACUCCUGGCGUAUCCGGCGGACCACACACGACGGGAUGACCACUCUGAUUCCUCGUCCCAAAAAGCCCCAGCACCAGCUUACGAAGCUGCGAUAGGCAAGAUGCUGGAAACGCCUAUAAGAGGAGGAAUGGAUGAUAACAUAUAUGUGCUGUCCUGUUUUUCACCCUUACCCUCUGGCUGCUUGAACAACUGAAUUUCCCCACAGGGAUUAAUAAAGGUCCAUCUUAUCUCAUACAGUGU